rnacentral:rRNA from 1 species
AUGUCGCCCCCGCGGCCGCAGCCCCCGGCGGCGACCCUGCGCGGCUUCCUCGACGCGCACUUCGCCUCCGCCGAGGACCUCGCCGCCGCGCCGGCCCUCGCCGAGCUCCUGCGCCGCGAGUGCGCGGGGCUCGAGGCGUCCCUCCGCCGCCUCGAGGCGCAGCUCGCCUCCGGCUCCGCCUCCUGGCUCGCCCGCUCGGCCGAGGCCCGGUCGGGCCUCCGCCGCAUCCGCUCCCGAGGAGGAGGAGACAUCCCUGCCGGGGACCAAGGGGAGGCGAGCGCUCCGGGCGUGGAGCUGCCGGCGAUCGUGCGGGAGAUCCAGCGGAUCGACACCAUUCGUCUCUACGCGGAAGCUACUCUACAGUUGGAAGCUCUGGUUGGUAACCUAGAAGAUGCAGCAUAUUCUAUUGUUAGACAGGCCUCAAAGUUGAACCUGUCAUCAGUACUUCGACGGGCAUCAAACGGGGUGGAACGGAAGCAAGAAAAGUUGCUCCAGGCUGUUGAUGCUGUGAGAGAUAUUGAGCAAGAAUUGGUAAGGAUCAGCACAAGUAGGCCACAGUGGACAAAUCUUAUAGUGGCGGUUGAUUCAAGAGUGGACAAGACUCUAGCCAUUUUGAGGCCUCAAGCACUUACAGAUUAUCGUGCUCUACUUGCUGCACUAGGCUGGCCACCUUCCUUGUCUUCACCUGACAUGGAGAAGGAUAAGUACUCCCAAGUUCCAAAUCCCCUUAUCUUGAUGAACGAGGCAAAUAAAGAGAAGUAUUCUGAAAGCUUUCUAGCACUGUGUGCUCUACAACAUGUGCAAGCCAACCGUGAAGUGCGUCAAUGCCAGAUGCCAGCGGCAACUACUCCUAGCCUGUCAGAUUCGAAGUACUUUGAUAAAACUGCGUGCCUUGAUAAUGGACUUUGGGCAAUUGAUGAAUUGGUCCACCCUAUUGUGUCAAGGAUGGAAUAUCAUUUUUCUAAAUGGUCUGAACAACCAGAGUUUAUUUUUGCUCUCGUUUACAAGAUAACAAAGGAUUUCAUGGAUGGAGUGGAUGAUAUACUGCAGCCUUUGAUUGACAAAGCAAGACUUGUCGGCUUAAGUGCCAAAGAAUCUUGGGUAACUGGAAUGGUAAAAAUGCUUCUAGGAUACCUUGAGACGCAAAUUUUCCCACCCCUUGUCACCGCUUAUCAUCGUACUGAUGACAAACUUGAAGUACAUUCAUCUUGGAUGCAUUUGAAUGACCAGAUGAUUACUUUUGAUAAAAGGAUGCAGCUGCUUGCAGAUUCAGGAAUUCAGAAAGUUGCAUUGGCUUCUGAAGGGCUCUCAAGGUCAUUAUCUGUCUUUUCAAUAUACAUUGGACAUUCUGAUUGGCUUCGGAUAUGGGCGGAUAUAGAGCUUAAUUCUGCACAGAAUAAGCUCAAAUCUGAAUUGGAGGAUGAAGCAAGUUGGUUAUGUAGUAUUGAUCCUCAGGAUGAGCUUGGUCACCAGCAAAGCACUGCUAAGUUUAUUCUGUCUACAAGAGAAGAUUACAAAGCUCCACCUGUUUCUGAAUUUGUCGUCAAAACUGCAUCGACGAUGGUUGAAAGAAGUCAUGCUCUGCCAACUAAGGGAACAAAGAUCCAGUAUUGCAGAUCCACUUCAGUCCAGUUCUUGAAUGACUUCUUUGUUUUGUUGCAUGAGCGAUGUGAGGCAUUGCAGUUGCCAAAUACAGCUUUACAAGAAGAGUCUUUGUUGAAAGCUUCCUAUGCAAUCAAUGCCGCUAGAUACUGUGAGUAUGUUCUUCGGGAGUGGGAUGAAGAUACCGCCUUCAUGGAGCUGGGUGCGCAUGGGAAUUAUGUUGAUGGAAACCAAGAACAAAUCCACAAACACAGUGCCCAACGUCAGUGUUCUUUCUUUGCAGACGAAAUUGCCUUUUUGGUUAAGCUAGGGACUGAUUUUCUGGAACAGUUCAUGUCCUCCAUCCUGAUUGAGUUUGAAGACCUAUCCUGGGACUACGUCCAAAGCAUUGGAUCAUCAAAUGAACAAAGCCAACCAGAUGAUCAGGUUCCCGAUGAAGAAAACCUAGAGGUAUCGCCUGGAUUUGUAGCCAGCCUAGAAGUCCUGAGAGAGCGAAUCACGAAACUGAAGCUGUAUCUCAACUCCAAGGAUUUCCUUGACCUGUGGAGGAGCAUAGCAGAAGGUCUUGACUACUUUGUCUACAGCAGCAUACGGUGGGGACAGGUGAAGUUCUCUGACCCCGCAGUCGUCCAGCUAAGGGUCGACACGAAGGCCCUCCUCCGCAUCUUCAGGCCCUACUGUUCCAGACCUGAGGCCUUCUUCCCGUUUGUAACCGACUCUCUGAAGCUGCUGACCAUGCGAGAGACAGACGCCCAGCACUUGCUGGAAGCGCUCAAGAAUGGGAAGGACGACGGUAAGUCUGGCCUGAGGCAACAUGGGUUGCACCAUGUGGAUGGUAGCCAGGCCGUGAAAGUCCUGAGGAGCCGGAAGUCUGGUGGAUAA